CAUGGAGGGUGAGAAUCCCGUUCAUGGUUAAUCUUAAGGAAGCUCUACGAUACGUUUUCCAAGAGUCGAGUUGUUUGGGAUUGCAGCUCAAAAUGGGAGGUAAAUUUCUCCUAAGGCUAAAUAUUGGCGAGAGACCGAUAGCGAACAAGUACCGUGAGGGAAAGAUGAAAAGAACUUUGAAAAGAGAGUUAAACAGUACGUGAAAUUGUUGAAAGGGAAACGAUUGAAGUCAGUCAUACCAACGGGAAAUCAACCUUUUGAGCUUGAUCUCGUGGGUUUUGAAGAGUUUCAAAGCCUUCGGAUUCGCGAGAUUGGGAUCUCUCGGUGUAUUUUCUCGUACGGUUAGUCAACAUCGGUUUUGAAUGUCAUAAAAUGACUGGAGGAAUGUAGCUUCGAUCUCGUAUUGAGGUGUUAUAGCCUUUGGUAGAUGUGAUGUUUGAGACCGAGGAUUGCAACGGAUACCCUUCAGGGCUAUUCGUCUGAUCUCUGAUACGUUGCCUUGAUGUUGAAAGCUUGCUUAUGAUGUUAGGGUAUUACGGUCAAAAGGUUAGAACGAAUUACAUUCGUUAAGGAUGUUGACGUAAUGGA
rnacentral:rRNA from 1 species